rnacentral:rRNA from 1 species
CGUACCUACGGGGCGCAGCAGUGGGGAAUAUUGCACAAUGGGGGAAACCCUGAUGCAGCGACGCCGCGUGAGUGAAGAAGUAUUUCGGUAUGUAAAGCUCUAUCAGCAGGGAAGAAAAUGACGGUACCUGACUAAGAAGCCCCGGCUAACUACGUGCCAGCAGCCGCGGUAAUACGUAGGGGGCAAGCGUUAUCCGGAUUUACUGGGUGUAAAGGGAGCGUAGACGGCUGUGCAAGUCUGAAGUGAAAUGCCAGG